AAUCAAAAUAUUUUAGGAUUUUUUAUUUAAAGUUUCUAAGGUUAUUUUGAAUUCGCUGUGAAGAGAAUGCAACCCUGAGCCGGCAGAAGGGGGCAAUGCUAGACGAGUGCAGCUAUAUGUUUUCCUUACGAAGUAUCUGAAUGAGUGCGACAGUGAUGCAAGGCUCACACGUACAGGGGGAAAGUGGUGACAAUCUGCACACCGCCCAUAUAAAUGUCACCAGUUUUGAAGUGACCGAAACCCGCGGUUUCACCAGAUUGUUCACCACUUUUGGCUGGCAGGGUAGCUCAUAAACGAA